rnacentral:lncRNA from 1 species
CUGAUUGUGACGGCGUCCAAAGCAUCGUCUCACUGCGACUUUUGCCCUUCAAAAUGACUGAAUACGGCCUCAGCAUGACAAGUCUGACGUCACCACUGGAUUUUUCGCGCCACCGGCGUCAGCCGCAGAGGGAAUCGAACCCAGAACCUCGAGAAGCACACCUUCCUUCCGCCUCGGUGCUUGAUCUGCGGGUUAGGAAAGUUGGAGAAGCAACCGACCAAGAUUGCAGGAGCAUGUUCGAAGCCUACGUGGCGAACGCAGGGACCCCCCCUUCACCGGCCACCCCCACGAGGGCUUCCCGCUCGACGAGCGAGUCCACGGACGACUCGGGCCCUCGCUCACCAUCGCCCCCGCAUUUUCAAAAUUCCCGCCAAAACGCGGCACCCGCAAUCGCCCCGAGGCAUGGGCUCGGACUAAACGCCCCUCUCUACGUGAACACGGCCACUGACGGCCCCCAGAGGCCCUCUGUCCCCGAUCCGAGGGCGCCUUUGUCGCCUGCCGCCCAACAUUCACCCACGCUACAGGUAAAUAUAUGUUUUAAAAUUUUUUUUUUUUUUGGAGAGUUUUUUGGCUUCUAUUCCUUUGUUAUAAAUCUUUAGGAAUCUACAGCCAUCUAUAGACGCUAUUUGGACGUAUUUAUGCGAAAAGGAGAUAUGUGCAAGUGGAAAGAUGGGGUGUGCUCGUUAGUUGGGUCAUAAGAAACAAUGUAACAGUGGAUAUAGUUCCUUUUGAGAAAAUUGAAAAACGGGAUUUGACAUUAAAUCAAAAGGAGCUAAGCGCCAAAAUAUGCUAACUCAUGAGCCGCGGGCAUGGCAAGAGAGCGUUGUGGACAGGGCUCAUGAGUUAAUGCUCGACGACGGCGAUUUCCCCGUCGCGCCUCCGCUUUUUCAUUGCCGCUGAUGUCGCUGGCGCUUUAUAUUCCCCAUUCAUUCUUAUGGCCCGGCCACUAACGAGCACACCCCAUCUUUCCACUUCCACAUAUCUCCUUUUCGCAUAAAUACGUCCAUUUAUUGUCCUUAGACAUCAGGGAGAUGGACAUCCAUGCUCAGGCUUACAAAUUUUCACGGAUUAAGGCCGAGUGAAUUCCACUUGCAGAUCCAUUCGUCAGUUCCACGGAAAUUUGUCGCCAUUUAGGCUUACAAAUUUCCGGGGAUUAAGGCCGAGCGAAUUCUGCUUGCAGAUCCACUCGUCAGUUCCAUGAAAAUUUGUCGCCAUCACCGGGAUUCGAAUCCGGGACCUAUUGACCUAGAGUCAGACGCGCUGACCACUAGGCCAACCUGGCCGGCGUGUUUUAAAAUUUCAGCCUUUAAAAAAGUCCACGAUGAAGGGGCGCCCAGGGAAAGGGUGGCGACAAGGGGUU